UAAGAGGUCCCGCCUGCCCUGUGACUAUUAGUUUAACGGCCGCGGUAUUUUGACCGUGCAAAGGUAGCGCAAUCACUUGUCUUUUAAAUGAAGACCUGUAUGAAUGGCACAACGAGGGCUUAACUGUCUCCUCUUUCAAGUCAAUGAAAUUGAUCUCCCCGUGCAGAAGCGGGGAUAAAACCAUAAGACGAGAAGACCCUAUGGAGCUUUAGACACCAAAGAAGAUCCUGUUAAAUGUCCCUAUAUAAAGGCCUGAACUAAUGGAACCCUUCCCUAAUGUCUUUGGUUGGGGCGACCACGGGGAAAGAAAUAACCCCCGCGUGGACUGGGAGUACUUCACUCCUACAGCCAAGAGCCACAGCUCAAAUCAACAGAACUUCUGACCUAUAAGAUCCGGCAAUGCCGAUCAACGGACCGAGUUACCCUAGGGAUAACAGCGCAAUCCCCUUUUAGAGCCCAUAUCGACAAGGGGGUUUACGACCUCGAUGUUGGAUCAGGACAUCCUAAUGGUGCAGCCGCUAUUAAGGGUCCGUUUGUUCAACG
rnacentral:rRNA from 1 species